rnacentral:rRNA from 1 species
UACAGAGGGUGCAAGCGUUAAUCGGAAUUACUGGGCGUAAGCGUGCGUAGACGGUUGCGUAAGUCAGAUGUGAAAGCCCCGGGCUCAACCUGGGAAUUGCAUUUGAGACUGCGUAGCUAGGGUGCGGAAGAGGGAAGCGGAAUUUCCGGUGUAGCGGUGAAAUGACGUAGAUAUCGGGAGGAACACCAGUGGCGAAGGCGACUUCCUGGCCUGUUCUUGACGCUGAGGAGCGGAAAGCCAGGGAGCAACGGG